rnacentral:rRNA from 1 species
AGAGUUUGAUCCUGGCUCAGGACGAACGCUGGCGGCGUGCCUAAUACAUGCAAGUCGAGCGGAGCUCGAUAGGUGCUUGCACCUUGAGAGCUUAGCGGCGGACGGGUGAGUAACACGUAGGUAACCUGCCUGUAAGACGGGGAUGACUCCGGGAAACCGGAGCUAAUACCGGAUAAUCUCAUAGACCGCAUGGUCUAUGGAUAAAAGAUGGCGUAAGCUAUCGCUUACAGAUGGACCUGCGGCGCAUUAGCUAGUUGGUAAGGGUAACGGCUUACCAAGGCGACGAUGCGUAGCCGACCUGAGAGGGUGACCGGCCACACUGGGGACUGAGACACGGCCCAGACUCCUACGGGAGGCAGCAGUAGGGAAUCUUCCGCAAUGGACGAAAGUCUGACGGAGCAACCGCCGCGUGAGUGAAGAAGGUUUUCGGAUCGUAAAACUCUGUUGUUAGGGAAGAACAAGUAUCGUUUGAAUAAGGCGGUAUCAUGACGGUACCUAACGAGAAAGCCCCGGCUAACUACGUGCCAGCAGCCGCGGUAAUACGUAGGGGGCAAGCGUUGUCCGGAAUUAUUGGGCGUAAAGCGCGCGCAGGCCGGUCUCUUAAGUCUGAUGUGAAAGCCCCACGGCUCAACCGUGGGAGGGGUCAUUUGGAAAACUGGGAGACUUGAGUUGUUGGAAAGGAAAGUGGAAAUUCCCACGUUGUUGCGGUGAAAUGCGUAAGAGAUUGUGGAGGAAACACCAGUUGGCGAAGGGCGACUUUUCUGGGCCUAUAACUGACGCUGAGGGCGCGAAAAGCGUGGGGAGCAAACAGGAUUUAAAUACCCCUGGUAGUCCACGCCGUAAACGAUGAGUGCUAGGGUGUUAGGGGUUUCGAUACCCUUAGUGCCGACGUUAACACAUUAAGCACUCCGCCUGGGGAGUACGGCCGCAAGGCUGAAACUCAAAGGAAUUGACGGGGGCCCGCACAAGCAGUGGAGCAUGUGGUUUAAUUCGAAGCAACGCGAAGAACCUUACCAGGACUUGACAUCCUUUGACCACUCUAGAGAUAGAGCUUACCCCUUCGGGGGACAAAGUGACAGGUGGUGCAUGGUUGUCGUCAGCUCGUGUCGUGAGAUGUUGGGUUAAGUCCCGCAACGAGCGCAACCCUUGAUCUUAGUUGCCAGCAUUAAGUUGGGCACUCUAAGGUGACUGCCGGUGAUAAACCGGAGGAAGGUGGGGAUGACGUCAAAUCAUCAUGCCCCUUAUGUCCUGGGCUACACACGUGCUACAAUGGACAGUACAAAGGGUAGCGAAGCCGCGAGGUGGAGCCAAUCCCAAAAAGCUGUUCUCAGUUCGGAUUGCAGGCUGCAAACUCGCCUGCAUGAAGCCGGAAUUGCUAGUAAUCGCGGAUCAGCAUGCCGCGGUGAAUACGUUCCCGGGCCUUGUACACACCGCCCGUCACACCACGAGAGUUUGUAACACCCGAAGUCGGUGGGGUAACCGUAAGGAGCCAGCCGCCUAAGGUGGGACAGAUGAUUGGGGUGAAGUCGUAACAAGGUAGCCGUAUCGGAAGGUGCGGCUGGAUCACCUCC